UGUAAGCGUAUACCAAAGUUGUUGCAGUUAAAACGCUCGUAGUCGGAAUUUGGCAGUUCCGGAAGUGUGCACGUCGUGUGCGCACUUUGCGGGGACUGCUUUUGUGGUCUUGCGUAGGAUGAGGCACUUUCAUUAGUAAACGUCCUCACGCAACCACUCUUUACUGUGAGAAAAUCAGAGUGCUCAAAGCAGGCAUUUGCCGUGAAUGUAUUAGCAUGGAAUAAUAGAAUAGGACUCGGUUCUAUUUUGUUGGUUUGUUGGGACUGAGUAAUGAUUAAGAGGGACAGUUGGGGGCAUUUGUAUUCCGGCGCUAGAGGUGAAAUUCUUAGAUUGCCGGAAGACAAACUGCUGCGAAAGCGUCUGCCAAGGAUGUUUUCAUUGA
rnacentral:rRNA from 1 species